UACAGUGUGCGCAGGAAGAAAACUCACCAUGAGCCGUUCUGCUUUAGAGCCAAGCACCGACAAGGCCGUCAUGAGGAAGUCUGUGAGCCUGUCCUCAGAUUGCUCUCUGCCGCAGGAGGACGACCUGGACUCGGAUGAGCUCUUGGGCUCUCAGUCCCGUAGAUGGCUUGCUGACCUGCUGAGCGCCGUGUCACCGAUGGACAUGGCGGAUGAUCCGAACACCGUGGGGCGGGACGGCCUCUUUGUUGACCACCACUUCCCCCUGGGCGAGUUGGAGAUGCACUCCGGAGUCAUGUGGAAGCGACCGAGAGAGCUUUGUGCGUCUCCUCAGUUCACUGUCAACGGAGCGUCCCGCCUGGAUAUCUGCCAGGGCAAACUCAAUGACUGCUGGCUGCUGUCAGCCAUCGCCUCUUUGUCUGUGCACCACAAACUCUUCCAGAAGGUGGUCCCUCCAGGACAGGACUUCCAGCAACACUACACUGGCUGCUUCAAAUUCAGGUUCUGGCAGUACGGCGAGUGGGUGGAGAUGCAGGUGGACGACCUGCUGCCUACAAAGGACAACAAACUCAUCUACCUGAGCUCCCCUGAGAAGCAGGAGUUCUGGAGCUCACUGUUGGAGAAGGCCUAUGCCAAGCUUAAAGGCGGGUACCGGGCUCUGGACAUGGGCUUUCCACAUGAGGCCAUGGUGGACAUGACUGGGGGAGUGGCCGAGGUACUGACCAUCAACCGUCUGCCCAGAGAUCUAUACAGCUUCAUCCAAUCACUACUGGCCAAAGGAGCUCUCAUCAACUGUGCAAACUGCCAGGGCCCUUUAGAGCAGAAGAACCCCCUGGGAAUCAUGUUCCGACAUGCCUACUCCUUGACUGCCAUGGAAAAAGUGAAGACGGCUCAUGGACCCGUUGAGCUGGUGCGACUCCUCAACCCCUGGGGAAACACUGAGUGGGAAGGGCCAUGGAGCGACUCCCAGAGUCCAGAGUGGAGCACUGUGAGCCCCCAGGAGCAGCAAAGGCUGGGCCGGGUCAACCGCGAGGAUGGGGAGUUCUGGAUGUCUGUGGCAGACUUCCGGCAGAACUUUGAGUUAAUGGAGGUGUGUCACCUGACCGAAUCUCCCAGCCAGUCAGCAUCCAGUGUACCAUGGUGCUGUGUAAUGCACCACGGGAACUGGGUGCCAAGUAUUUCAGCGGGUGGCCCUGCUCACUCAGGCUUGUUCUGGCAGAACCCUCAAUUCCAACUAGAGCUUUCUCACGCUGACCCCUCCAUGGAGGCUCAGGUCUGCUCCUUUGUGCUGUCUCUGAUGCAGAAGCACCAGCGGCGCAGAGGGUUAAACCUGUCCACAGCACUACAUGUGUACAGGGCCCACCCUCGGAACACAUACCUGUCCCCCUCUGACCUGAGCUCUACUCAGCCUCUCCUCUGCAGCCUGCAGUACUCCUCCAGGCGGGAGGUGGUGCUGCGGAACAGUCUACCCCCGGGCCGCUACAUCAUCAUCCCCUCCACUGCCGAGGCCAAACAGCAGGGCGCCUUCCUACUCCGAGUGCUGACUGAGCAGAGCAAUGCUGCCAGACCGCCUCAUACACCAACACCACAAGACAUCACCCCAGUGAAGGAGCCUUCAUCUCCACAUCAGACAGCUCUGCCCUCUCCCAAAUCCAUCAGGCGUCUCUUUGAGAAGCACUCUGACAAGAAAGGCCUCUGCAAACCACUGCACCUCUACAAACUUCUGAAGGAGGCCAUUCAGGGAGGAGUUCUGAAUGGCAGUGAGAGGUACCUGGAUCUGGAGCAAUGUAAGAGCUUGGUGGUGCUUAUGGAUACACAAGGGAUUGCCAAACUGAACUGGCCUGAAUUCCAGGGUCUGUGGGACAAGAUCCGGAGGUGGACAGACAUUUUCCUGGUGUUCGAUAAGAACAAAAGUCAGCGGCUGGAGUACCAGGAGGUGGGCCCGGCUCUGAAGGCUGCUGGCAUCUCAGUGGAUGAUGUAGUGAUGCAGCUGGUAGGCCUCAGGUACACGGAGCCAGACCUGACCAUCAGUUACCCAGGCUUCCUCUAUGUGCUCAUGAAGCUGGAGAGUAUGAUUCAUAAAUUUGAGGCAUAUGAUAUGGUCGGAAUGGGAGCCAUCACAGUCAGUUACAGACAGUGGCUUCAGAUGACGAUGUACAACUGAGCCGUCUGGUUUGAAUAGGUGCAUGAGAUGGGACCAUAAGCUCUUCCAUACAGUGUCUCCAGCGCCUCUGUACGUGGCCCCUCCCACCAGAGCAGCACAAAUGAAGACUUGUCUCUUUUCAAACGCUCUUAAAGGACGAUUGUUUUGACUGUUGAUCGUGACACCCUCAUCAGCAAAAUGUCCAACAUGAGAAAAGUGGAGCAGAGUGCAGGAUUUUACAAAAAAAAUUGACUUAUUCCUAUUUCUACAAGUUAAUUUUAUACAAGUUCAUGUUAAAACAUUGUGUUGAAAUUGUAUUUUUCUUAAAGUUUCAGGUUGUUCAUAAUAUUAUAAUAUUUUGUAAAAGAAAGAGUUCAUCAAUUAAAAAAGAUUUCUGUAAUAGAUUUGCGUUUCUCUGCACAAAUAUUUGAACUUAUUGUUAUUUUUGGGGUUUAUAUGACAUGAGUUUUCUGAUCUGGCCCCUUUGGGAUCAAAGUCGGUUGGAUACGGCCCCCGGACCAAAUGAGUUUGACACCCCUCGUAUAAUGUAUAAAUGAGAAAAAUGUAAAUGCAUAAAACAUACAAUUUUUAAUAAUAAAUAAAGAAUAAAUAAA